CACGGUAUCCAAAAUCCAUACAAAUCAUACAAACAUCAAAAACAAAUAUCAAUUAUAAUUUAAGUAUAUAUAUAUAUAUAUAUAGCAAUUUUUUAAAUUCCAUGUAAAUCAUAAAUCCAAUAAUAUUAUUUUUAAAAAAACGAAGUGUAAAAAUGCAUCGAGCGUUAAUCCUUUCCGAUCUCCCCUCGGAACACAUCGAAGAAAGUGUGAGCAAGCGGCCCGCGCGAUGGCACCCGUAAUUGCGCACGGUGUGAGAGGGUUGCGUUUCUCUGGCGCAAGGUAUAAGUGCGGGUUAGUAGACGCAAACCCACUACGCGAGGGACGACUAGCUAUUUCAGAGGAGUAACCGAGUCGGAAGUCCGUCGUAGCCGCAAGUUAAAUAGCUUUCCGUUACCGGUCGCAUUACUCGCCGACGUACUGAAAACGCUCCUUUCCACUCUCCCUUUCUCUUCGACCGUGUAUGUGCGCGCGCCACGCCUCGCUCGAAUGAGUAAUGCGGUCGACGCGCACUCGCGCCUCUGUCUCUCUCUCUUUCUCUUUCUCUCUACGUUUCGCGUGAAAAUUUCCUUCAGUGUUGUCCACCUAUAUGCGAGUCUUCAUCUGUAAACUUUCGCAGCGAUGCGGAUUGGAGGGGAGAGAGAAGAGGGGAAGGAUGAGUUUCCUAGUUGAAGGAGGGUUCUCGUGGAGGGAAAUGGAAGGUUUCGUGGUUGGCUGCUUUUGAUGGGACAGAAGUGAAGUCUGUAAUACGUGUGAUCGAGCGGAUAGGUUCGCGUUACUAUUUUGUGUUGGAAAUCGGUUCACCGGUGUUCUGCGAGUAAUGCAGAGGUUCUCAAAAUGAUAAGGGUACGAAUUCCUGCACGGUUGGAACCGUUCCUUUCCCUUUCGUCAGCUCGUUUACCGUUUCCAGGAUCAUCCCUCUUCCCCAAGAGACACCUGAUGUCCUCGUUCCACCUUCGAAUUAAUGGCUAUCGAAUUGCUCGAACCAUUCUCCAGGAUUCCAGGUCGACCAGGGAAGAGGAUCGGUUUCAGCGAACUAGUCUCUCCUCGAGUCUAGAAUUUCAGAUGUAGUUUAUUAUAAUAAAUGUGAUAAUAAUGUGUGAAAAUAAUUUAUCGUGUUUAAGAGUAAUUUUUUAGAAAUAAUAAAAAAAAAAAAAGAGGAAAAUUUUUUCUAUAUUUUAAAAUUUAAUUAUAUGGACAAGGAUGUUAUAAUAUGUUGAAAGCAAAUAUAAAAAUUGAUAUACGAGAUUAAAUUGUACGUAUUUUUUGAUUUUAUUGGACAUUUUAUGAUAAAAUAAUUUAUCAAGUUGGAAGUAAUUUUGCAAAAAUGAAUUACAACAAUUUUAUAAAUAAAAAAGAAGAGGAAAA